AAUUCAACACGCUCAAUUUAAAUACUCCGUGUGCAAGUAAUUUAUAGAAUAAAAGUAGUCGUAACGAAACCAUAACGUGCGUGUCAUAACAAAACGCAAGCGACUUUCUAGUUUCUAGUGUCAGUGUCAAGUCAAACCCUGAAUCAGUGUAAUUAUCGUGUUGAGGAAAUAGUGAAUUAUUUCUAAGAUAUUAAGUUUGUUAUUUAUGUAGUGACGAAAAAAAAAACAUAAUGAACAUUUGCAGAACUUGCCUCGAAACUCCAGCUGAUAAACAUAUUUCGGAGCUGGAAAAAGACAUAAAAGAGACCAACCGAAACUGCUUCGAUAUUAUGCUGUUUUGUUUAGAUAUCGAGGUGACCCACGGCUCCAAAAUAACAAGACAUUUAUGCAGCAAGUGCUAUACAAAAAUCGUAACAUUUUACAAUUUUAAAACCACAUCUCUAAAAAAUGAUUCAUAUUUAAAGUCUCUGGACCCAGCUCUAGGGUUGGAAACGCAGAAACUGUCUGGGUAUGUGGAUGAAAAUGGAAUUAAACAGGAAGAGAUAGUAGACAAAGACUGCAAAGCAGAUAUUAAAAUAGAAAUCGAAAUAAUGAAUGAUGAGUCGCUAGGGGAUUUAGAAGUAGAUGUUAAAAAAGAAUACACAUCAGAAGAUGCAGAGACAUAUGUAGAGCCUGUUUGUUUUAAAGACAAAGUUGAAUCUAGAAAUAUUUCAGAUAAUUCUGAAAAAAACGCACCAGUGUAUCAGCAAUCUGUACCUCCCAAGAAAUUUCCAUCUGCAAAAGUGCAGCAAAAACGUGAAGUAUGUGAGGAAUGUGGCAAGUCUUUCCGUAAUGUUAAGAAGCAUGCUCUCCAGCACCGCCCCAGGGGGGAACGGCAGGCUAUACAGUGUGAGGCCUGUCCUAAGACCUUUAUCAAUAAAACAAGUCUAAAAAAUCAUUACAAGAACACUCAUUUAGGCAUAAAAUCUAAAUGUGACAUUUGUAAUAAAGUGGUGAUACACCUGAGCGUGCACAAGAUGCAAGUUCACAACCCGGACACCCUGCGCUACGGCUGCCCCACGUGCGAGCGCCGCUUCAUAACGCGGGCCGCGCUGGACCUACACGCCACUGUACACACCCGCGACCUUAAGUAUCAGUGUGAUAUAUGCCAGAAGAAGUUUCGUUUGAGGAACAGUAUAUUGAGACAUAUACGAGACUUCCAUCAAAAGGAAAGAAAUCAUCAAUGUAAAUUGUGCAAUAAGGCUUUUUUCGGCAAAAUGUCAUUUAAGAGACAUUUAGAAUCGCACUCUAAUGAGCGACUCUACAAGUGCAAAAAAUGUGACAAAGCCUUCAAGACGAAGGAAUAUCUCAGAAAACAUUCCCGAAUCACUCAUAGCGACGUCAAGAACUUCAACUGUGAACUAUGCAGCAAGAGCUUCAAGAGAUCCUCCGACCGAAACACUCAUAUGCGCACACACACGGGAGAGAAGCCGUACCCGUGCCGUCACUGCGACGCGCGCUUCAGGCAAACCAGCGCGCGCAAAAGACAUGAGCUAGUUAUGCACGAGGAACUUAACAAGUUCUAAUGAACGUGGUAAGAAGUAGAUACUGUUUCAGGGAUAGACAUACUCAAAAGCGCAUACACACAGGAGAGAAACCGUACCCAUGCCGACCCUGCAUUACUAGCUUCAGGCAAUUCAGCACGCGCAACAGACAUGAGCGAGGUAUGCACGAGGAACUUAACAAGAUCUAAGGAUCGUGGUAAUUCAUAUCACAUGCACCGUCAAUAAUCGCUGCUUACUUGCCUAUACACUAUACCUACCGACGGUGUAACAAUGCUGUUUCGUUUAGCUUCUGUUGGGUGGACCAUCCGACCCGACGUCAUGGAAGAGUUUAUAUCCGAAGGGGAUGGCGCUGCUUCUAAAGAGACCGAGGUGUCUGUGUCUAUAGCGAGCCUCAACAUUUUCUAAAUACAAUAAGCGAUGUAUGGUUUAUUAAAUAUAUUAAACAUCUUACAUUAAAACAGA